CACUGCAGAGGCAACAAGCUCCACCUGGGCCCACUCAUCUCCUUACCACUCUCAGCUGCAGGAGAGCAAUGUUGUAAACCGUGAUUUCUGUCUCAACUAGAAUAGCUGGUAAAAACUUGGGGUAAUCCUGGAAGAAGCUGUACCUUAAGGACUGGAAAGCAUGGGCACCAGGAAAAGAGCACUGAUUCACAGCACUAUUGACUAGGAAAGGAAUCUUUUGCAUCACAGUGACCAUUCUGUAGGCAUAAGGGAUUAAUAAAUUUUUGACUAAUGAUACAAUCUUCUAUUGUGUACUUAUUGCCUGGGCACAAGCAGGAUCUAUGACAAAUACUACUCCAGAAAACUUCUUAGCAAUACUUAAUUCUUGUUUAGAAAGAGUAAACACACUCGGAGACGUAUGAGUCACUUAUGAGAAGAUACAUAGUUUUAAAAGCACUUGAAAGAGUUGGAAAUCACUGAGGUAACAGAGAUAAAAAAUAUAUCUCCAGUUUUUGGUAUCGUCUAAACAUCAUAGCUGCAUUAUAACUAAGUUAUAUGUCACAAACAAACUGAUGGAUAACAGAAUAAGCGAAAAACUCCAGUCACAGCAAGAGGGGAAUACAGAACUGAGGAUGUUAAUUCAUCAUUCAGUGCUGUUUAAUGACUCAUAUUUCACCCCAUGAUACUUAAUCACAAUGAAAUGCUGCAAAGAUGCACUGAAAAAAGUGGGAUAAUAGCUGACUCCCAGUGAAUUUUCAGGUUGUUUUACUGGAAGUCAAUCAUAAAUAUUGCAUAAAAAAUGUAAAAAAUGAUAACAAUCUAAGUUUCUCUAGUGAUGAUUAUUGAAGCUAUACAAAAACAUUAAGUAUGCUUUUAGAUUUCCAGGUUUCAGUCUCUUGUGAAAUACUUUUGCACAUCUGACAAACUUCUUGAGUGUCAAGUACAACCUCAUGUUUCUGUAUUCCUUUUCAAAAUAUCACUGUGUUGAUUAUCAGCAUGGAGUCUACAGUGCAGAAAAGAAUGAAGGGAUAGUAUGGCAGAGAACACUUUUUCAUUCUUUGAAGGAAAGAAGAAAGACAUUCUGUUAACAAUGGAUCUCUCCACACACAAGGCAAAAUGUUCUUAUACUAUUGUGGAUUCAAAAAGUUUGUGGAUUUUUCAUCACUUGCAUGAUGACUACAAUAAAUAAUCAUGGAACUGGCCCAGAAAUUUAACGUAUUUCAUUUUAGAAGCAAUUACCAAUGGAUCAUAACCAAAAAUGGCAAUAUUGCUGACAAAAGUGUAUCAGUAGUGCUUUUUGGAGGAGUGGAGAAGAAGAGGAAGUGCCCUUUCUACUUUCUUGAGAAAUGAAGGUUAAAUAAAGAUGUUGGAGGAAACAAUUUAAGUGUUAUAUAAGCUAUAUUAAUAUUUAAAUGGUACUUCUAUACUUCAAAGGGUUUUUAUCUUGUUGACUGUCACUGAACUUCCAAGAAUCUCUUUUUCAUAUAUUUAAUGUUUUGGGUGGAUGGGUAAUUUGGCAAAUCACAAGAUAUGGAUUAAGGCAAAAUCCUCACAGGGGUAUUGACAUUAAAUUAAAUACUUGGGAGUUAACAUAGGUGUCAGACAAUAAGCUGGAAACUUGUAAUAAAGAAUCAAGAUAAAAUCUUACAAAUGUUUAACAUUAUGCUUGUUCCCACAUGUAAGCAAUGUUACUGCAAUUAUUAGAAAAACUUCAGUGACUGCACCUGCAUGUUUUUUCAAAAAUGGACCUUAAUUUUUUUCAAGUUUCAGGAAGGUAGAAAAAACAACCAUAUCUACAGAAAAUUUGAAAGGGAGCUACAAAAUCUGAAAACAAAUCUAAAUAGAUGCUGGAUAUUUUUUUACUAAUUGGUGGAGUUGUUCAGCGUUGGAAAGCAUCAUUUUUUCUUAUUAAAAAUUAAUUCUAUUUAUUACUUUGAAAUAUAAAGCAAGUUAAAUGAAUAAAUAUGCAGAACUUUAAACUUUGAAUUAUUUACUAUGAGAAGUCCUUAGGAGGUACUGGAGCAGUUGCUGUUUGAAGGUUCAGUUCACUCAGAUAAUAAGAGCUUCUGGUGGUUUGGUAGAUAUUUGGAGGAAAAUAAAACUGGCAACAGGCUUGAAGAUAUUUUUCUGUCUUCAGGCUGCUAGAAAUGUGGCACAUUUAUUUAGAAAGAAGGGAGGGAUAGGGAGACAGUUUAAAAGAAAAAAAUAUAGUAGAUAAACUAAUGCUCCAUUUUCAGCAUCUCUCAGCUUGAAAUACAAUGAAGCACAUAAUGUCCCUGUAGCUACAGCAGGCUUCCUCAUAAAUACUGGUGACAUGCUGAAUCUUUUAAGAAAAGGGAUGGAAGUCAUUAGACUUCUCAUUAAUGGCAUGGCUCUUGGAUAAGAGACCUAAUGACUGCUGAAGCAUGAAAAGACACCCUAGCAACUGCUGAUCUUCUGAAGGUUUCUUCCUCCCCUGCUAUUUCCAUUGGACCUUUUCUUUAUAAACAGAGAGGAACUUGAAGUAUAAGAUGUAGACUGGUGACGUGAAAGAUGUAGGACCUAAGCUGCAGCUUCUCACUGAUAGUUUUCAGAUCUCAUUCAGUAACAUGAAGGUUUUUUUUGCGUGUGCAGUCCUAUAGAUGCUACAAAGCAUGGAAACCAGAGUGCUUUAAAAAUUGUUUCUACAGUCUUUGAUUUAAAUCAGUUUUUCUGAUGUCUGUGACAGAUGGUGAAAACUGAGAUAACACCACAACUGCGUGAGGCAGAAGUAAAUGUAAAUUUAAAAUGACUUAAAGUGCUUGCAAAGAUUAAUUACAGUAUAGAGAUAUGCAUGCCAUAGCUGGCACAGUCUCUCUAUAUCAUACGUAAGUAUAUUUGAUUAUAUAAGUUCAAAAAUAGCUUUUAUGCAGUGACUAAGAUGCCUUUUUAUUUUUGAUAUGCUUUAACUUUCAUAAAUUCCUUUGAUGUAAACCAAACUCUACUUUCUGUGUAUCAGCCGUAUGACUUAUUUGGAUAUUUUGUUGUAAAAUGUAAGAAAGAAUAUUCUGCUUCAGCUGUACUUUAACAACCUGGAUCAUUCUUUAUGUGCUUGCUUACAAAUAACAUCAAUGCCACAGCAGGAUGAAGAGUUAGUACAUUUUAGCAAGAAACAGGGACACCAUUUUCCCACUUUCUGCAUUAAAAAAAAGCAGGUAGGUUG